UACGGGGGGAGCAAGCGUUGUUCGGAUUUACUGGGCGUAAAGGGCGCGUAGGCGGCCACCGCAAGUCGGUUGUGAAAUCUCUGGGCUUAACCCAGAAAGGUCAACCGAUACUGCGGGGCUAGAGUGCAGAAGGGGCAACUGGAAUUCUCGGUGUAGCGGUGAAAUGCGUAGAUAUCGAGAGGAACACCUGCGGCGAAGGCGGGUUGCUGGGCUGACACUGACGCUGAAGCGCGAAAGCUAGGGUAGCAAACGGG
rnacentral:rRNA from 1 species